rnacentral:rRNA from 1 species
GAUGAACGCUGGCGGCGUGCCUAAUACAUGCAAAUCGAGCGAACGGACGAGAAGCUUGCUUCUCUGAUGUUAGCGGCGGACGGGUGAGUAACACGUGGAUAACCUACCUAUAAGACUGGGAUAACUUCGGGAAACCGGAGCUAAUACCGGAUAAUAUUUUGAACCGCAUGGUUCAAAAGUGAAAGACGGUCUUGCUGUCACUUAUAGAUGGAUCCGCGCUGCAUUAGCUAGUUGGUAAGGUAGCGGCUUACCAAGGCAACGAUGCAUAGCCGACCUGAGAGGGUGAUCGGCCACACUGGAACUGAGACACGGUCCAGACUCCUACGGGAGGCAGCAGUAGGGAAUCUUCCGCAAUGGGCGAAAGCCUGACGGAGCAACGCCGCGUGAGUGAUGAAGGUCUUCGGAUCGUAAAACUCUGUUAUUAGGGAAGAACAUAUGUGUAAGUAACUGUGCACAUCUUGACGGUACCUAAUCAGAAAGCCACGGCUAACUACGUG